rnacentral:rRNA from 1 species
UACGGAGGGUGCAAGCGUUGUCCGGAUUUAUUGGGUUUAAAGGGUGCGUAGGCGGCCCCCUAAGUCAGUGGUGAAAGCCCGCGGCUCAACCGCGGAACUGCCAUUGAUACUGGGGGGCUUGAGUACAGACGAGGUAGGCGGAAUUGAAGAUGUAGCGGUGAAAUGCUUAGAUAUCUUCAAGAACACCGAUUGCGUAGGCAGCUUACUAGGCUGUAACUGACGCUGAGGCACGAAAGCGUGGGGAGCGAACAGG